rnacentral:rRNA from 1 species
UACAGAGGGGGCAAGCGUUAUUCGGAAUUAUUGGGCGUAAAGAGCUUGUAGGCGGUCUGUCGCGUCUGCUGUGAAAAUCCGGGGCUCAACCCCGGACUUGCAGUGGGUACGGGCAGACUAGAGUGUGGUAGGGGAGACUGGAAUUCCUGGUGUAGCGGUGAAAUGCGCAGAUAUCAGGAGGAACACCGAUGGCGAAGGCAGCUCGCUGGAACGGUACUGACGCUGAGGCGCGAAAGCGUGGGGAGCAAACAGG